GAUGAAGAACGCAGCGAAAUGCGAUAAGUAGUGUGAAUUGCAGAAUUCAGUGAAUCAUCGAAUCUUUGAACGCACAUUGCGCCCCUUGGUAUCCCGAGGGGCAUGCCUGUUCGAGCGUCAUUUCACCACUCAAGCCUGGCUUGGUGUUGGGCGACGUCCUCUUUGGGGACGCGCCUCGAAACGCUCGGCGGCGUGGCACCGGCUUUAAGCGUAGCAGAAUCUUUCGCUUUGGAAGUCGGGGCCCCGUCUGCCGGAAGACCUGCUCGCAAGGUUGACCUCGGAUCAGGCAGGGAUACACGCUGAACUUAAGCAUAUCAAUAAGCGGAGGA
rnacentral:misc_RNA from 1 species